rnacentral:rRNA from 1 species
UACGUAGGGUGCGAGCGUUGUCCGGAAUUAUUGGGCGUAAAGGGCUCGUAGGCGGUUUGUCGCGUCGGGAGUGAAUCCACUGGCUUAACUGGUGGCUUGCUUUCGAUACGGGCAGACUGGAGGUAUGCAGGGGAGAACGGAAUUCCUGUGUAGCUGGCGAAAUGCGCAGAUAUCAGGAGGAACACCGGUGGCGAAGGCGGUUCUCUGGGCAUGUCCUGACGCUGAGGAGCGAAAGUGUGGGGAGCGAACAGG